UCAGAAUUAGAAGUGUUGCAGGUAACUUUGCCAGAUGGUUUGAUGUCAGCGCUUGAGAUUCUUCAGUUUGUUAUGGCUGUAGAUUGCUAUCCAAAUGUCUCUGUUGCCUAUCGGAUCCUCUUAACAGUGCCUGUGACUAUAGCCUCAGCUGAAAGAAGUUUCUUUAAACUGAAACUACUGAAAAAUUAUUUGAGGUCAACUAUGUUGCAAGAUAGAUUGAAUGGUCUGGCUAUGUGCUGCAUUGAGAAGGACAUCUUGGACAAUGUUGAUCUUGAUUGUGCCUUUAAUGACUUUGCAUCAAGAAAUGCCCAAAGAAACUUUUUUUUGAAGCACUCAAGUAUUAUUGUUGUCGAUGGAGUCAGUCUAAUUUCAUUCUAUUUGAGGUAA
rnacentral:rRNA from 1 species